rnacentral:rRNA from 1 species
UACGGAGGGUGCAAGCGUUAUCCGGAUUCACUGGGUUUAAAGGGUGCGUAGGUGGGUUGGUAAGUCCGUGGUGAAAUCUCCGAGCUUAACUCGGAAACUGCCGUGGAUACUAUCAAUCUUGAAUAUCGUGGAGGUAAGCGGAAUAUGUCAUGUAGCGGUGAAAUGCUUAGAUAUGACAUAGAACACCGAUAGCGGAGGCAGCUUACUACGCGAUUAUUGACACUGAGGCACGAAAGCGUGGGGAUCAAACAGGAUUAGAAACCCCAGUAGUCC